AAAAUGGCCAGAAACAAAUUACUUUCUCAUUCUCAUCUCAUUCCAAAAUCAUGGGCAUUAAUAUGGAGUUGGUCUCCCCUUUGCUGCUAUAACAGCCUCCACUCUUCUGGGAAGGCUUUCCACUAGAUGUUGGAACAUUGCUGCGGGUACGUGCUUCCAUUCAGCCACAAGCACAUUAGUGAAGUCGGGCACUGAUGAUGGGCGAUUAGGCCUGGUUCGCAAUCGGUGUUCCAAUUAAUCUCAAAGGUAUUCAAUGGGGUUGAAGUCAGGGCUCUGCGCAGGCCAGUGAAGUUCUUCCACGCCGAUCUCAACAAACCAUUUCUGUAUGGACCUCGCUUUGUGCACGGGGGCAUUGUCAUGCUGGAACAUGAAAGGGCCUUCCCCAAACUUCGCUCUUGCACAGGGGCGGCAGCGUAGCCUAGUGGGGCAGGUUGCAAGAUCGAAUCCCCGAGCUGACAAGGUACAAAUCUGUCGUUCUGCCCCUGAACAAGGCAGUUAACCCACUGUUCCUAGGCCAUCAUUGAAAAUAAGAAUUUGUUCUUAACUGACUUGCCUAGUUAAAUAAAGGUAAAAUUAAAAAAAACUGUUGCCACAAACUUGGAAGCACAGAAUUGUCUAGAAUGUCAUUAUAUGCUGUAGCAUUAAGACUUCCCUUCACUGUAACUAAGGGGCCUAGCCCAAACCAUGAAAAACAGCCCCAGACCAUUAUUCCUCCUCCACCAGAUGUUAUAGUUGGCACUAUGUUAUAGUUGGCACAGGUAGCGUUCUCCUGGCAUCGACCAGAUGGUGAAGCGUGAUUCAUCACUCCAGAGAAUGCAUUUCCACUGCUCCAGAUGCCAAUGGCGGCGAGCUUUACACCACUCCAGCCGACGCGUGGCAUUGCACAUGGUGAUCUUAGGCUUGUGUGCGGCUGCUCGGCCAUGGAAUCCAAUUUCAUGAAGCUCCCGACGAACAGUUCUUGUGCUGACGUUGCUUCCAGAGGCAGUUUGGAACUCGGUAAACUACAAAUGCCUGUCUCAAGCUUCACAUCACCAGGGCCAUGAUGAUCUGGACGAGACUGCCGAAUUGAGGCAAAGGCACAGAUCUAGGAUCAGCG
rnacentral:lncRNA from 1 species